rnacentral:rRNA from 1 species
CGAACGGGUGAGUAACACGUGAGGAACCUGCCUCAAAGAGGGGGACAACAGUUGGAAACGACUGCUAAUACCGCAUAAGCCCACGGCUCGGCAUCGAGCAGAGGGAAAAGGAGCAAUCCGCUUUGAGAUGGCCUCGCGUCCGAUUAGCUAGUUGGUGAGGUAACGGCCCACCAAGGCGACGAUCGGUAGCCGGACUGGGAGGUUGAACGGCCACAUUGGGACUGAGACACGGCCCAG